rnacentral:rRNA from 1 species
GAUGAACGCUGGCGGCGUGCCUAAUACAUGCAAGUCGAGCGAACGGACGAGAAGCUUGCUUCUCUGAUGUUAGCGGCGGACGGGGGAGUAACACGUGGAUAACCUACCUAUAAGACUGGGAUAACUUCGGGAAACCGGAGCUAAUACCGGAUAAUAUUUUGAACCGCUUGGUUCAAAAGUGAAAGACGGUCUUGCUGUCACUUAUAGAUGGAUCCGCGCUGCAUUAGCUAGUUGGUAAGGUAACGGCUUACCAAGGCAACGAUGCAUAGCCGACCUGAGAGGGUGAUCGGCCACACUGGAACUGAGACACGGUCCAGACUCCUACGGGAGGCAGCAGUAGGGAAUCUUCCGCAAUGGGCGAAAGCCUGACGGAGCAACGCCGCGUGAGUGAUGAAGGUCUUCGGAUCGUAAAACUCUGUUAUUAGGGAAGAACAUAUGUGUAAGUAACUGUGCACAUCUUGACGGUACCUAAUCAGAAAGCCACGGCUAACUACGUG